GACGAACGCUGGCGGCGUGCUUAACACAUGCAAGUCGAACGGAAAGGCCCUGCUUUUGUGGGGUGCUCGAGUGGCGAACGGGUGAGUAACACGUGAGUAACCUGCCCUUGACUUUGGGAUAACUUCAGGAAACUGGGGCUAAUAUCGGAUAGGAGCUCCUGCUGCAUGGUGGGGGUUGGAAAGAUUCGGCGGUGGGGGAUGGACUCGCGGCUUAUCCGCUUGUUGGGGGGGUAGUGGCUGACCAAGGCUUUGAAGGGUAGCCGGCCUGAGAGGGUGACCGGCCACAUUGGGACUGAGAGACGGCCCAGACUCCUACGGGAGGCAGCAGUGGAGAAUAUUGCACAAUGGGCGGAAGCCUGAUGCAGCAACGCCGCGUGCGGGAUGACGUCCUUCGGGUUGUAAACCGCUUUCGCCUGUGACGAAGCGUGAGUGACGGUAAUGGGUAAAGAAGCACCGGCUAACUACGUG
rnacentral:rRNA from 1 species